rnacentral:rRNA from 1 species
AUGAGGAUCAUGGUGCGGACGCUGCGCGGGGACCGGGUGGCGCUGGACGUGGACGGCGCGACCACGACCGUGGCGCAGGCCAAGGGCAUGGUGAUGGCCCGGGAGCGCGUCCCCGUGGCCAUGCAGCGCCUCUUCUUCGCCGGCUGCCACCUCGACGACGACGACCGGACGCUCGCCGAUUACGGCGUCCAGCACGACUCUGUCCUCUUCCUCGGUCUCCGCCUCCGCGCCGCCGACAGCACCCCGUGCCAGGACGAGAUGCAUAGGUUGCAGGUGCCGGCCGGUUGGACGGCCGCGAAGCAUGAAGUGCAUGCCCAUGGUCACGCGGGCGCGCACGGCGGCAGCGGUGGCGAGGAACCCGGGAAGGCCAAGGCCAGGAAGCCACCGUCGCGGCGCGCGCUCCGGAAGAUCCUCUCGAGGCUGCACGUGGACGCGUGGACGCGGCAGCACGACGCCAAGCUGCUGGACCUGCUACAGCGCCACGCGGCGGGCCGAGGCGGCGGCGUGGGUGACCUGACCGGCGAGGACUGGUCGGCCGUCCGCGCCGAGCUGAACGCGGCCACGGGGUCCGGGUUCGCCGUGGAGGAGCUGCAGCGGCGGGUGGGCGAGUUCCGGCGCGAGCUCGAGGCCGUAGGCCGGACCAAGAGCAACCUGCGGUUCGGCUACGACCCGCACCGCCGGGUCGUCGUCGCCGAGGAGGCCGACUGGAAGAGCUACACGCUGGUACGUACGUGCCCUGUAAUGCUCGAUCGUUCCGUCCUCCUGAUGUCUCUUUCUUAUCUCGAUCUUCGUUUGGUGGCCGGGGUUUCAGGAGAAUCGAGAGGCGGCAGCGUACGAGGGGAGGAGCCCGCGUCUGGCUAUGCUCCGAGCAGUUUUCGCCGGAGACGGGCAUGGCGGCGCCGGCGCGAAAAGCCGGGAGUCGCGGCCGAGGAGGUACCUGAACAAGUUGCUGCGGAGUUUUGGGCUUCGAUGUAA